rnacentral:misc_RNA from 1 species
GAUGAAGAACGUAGCGAAAUGCGAUAAGUAAUGUGAAUUGCAGAAUUCAGUGAAUCAUCGAAUCUUUGAACGCACAUUGCGCCCCUUGGUAUUCCGAGGGGCAUGCCUGUUCGAGCGUCAUUAUAACCCCUCAAGCUCAGCUUGGUGUUGGGGCCUGCUGCACUGGCAGCCCUUAAAAUCAGUGGCGGCGCCAUCUGGCUCUAAGCGUAGUAAUUCUUCUCGCUAUGGAGUCCUGGUGGAUGCUUGCCAUCAACCCCCAAUUUUUCUAUGGUUGACCUCGGAUCAGGUAGGGAUACCCGCUGAACUUAAGCAUAUCAAUAAGCGGGGGA